rnacentral:rRNA from 1 species
AACAUGGUUGCAACGGGUAACGGGGAAUCAGGGUUCGAUUCCGGAGAGGGAGCCUGAGAAACGGCUACCACAUCUAAGGAAGGCAGCAGGCGCGUAAAUUACCCACUCCCGGCACGGGGAGGUAGUGACGAAAAAUAACAAUAUAGAACUAGUUAACUAUGUUCUGUAAUUGGAAUGAAUCAAGUUUAAAUCCUUUAAUGAGGAUCAAGUGGAGGGCAAGUCUGGUGCCAGCAGCCGCGGUAAUUCCAGCUCCACUAGCGUAUGUUAAAAUUGUUGCGGUUAAAACGUUCGAAGUUGAUUAUUGUCCAGUGCGGGUGUGACAUCAUCAAGAAAUGAUUGUCAUCACUUUCCGGUUACUUGGACUAUUUGACUGAACACUAAAUGAAUAGCAUUGAUGUCUUUCACUAGACUAGAUGUCUAUUUAGUUCGGCUUACUUUUACCUUGAACAAAUUAAAGUGCUCAAAGCAGGCUUCAUAUGCUUGAAUAGUUUUGCAUGGAAUAAUGGAAAAAGACCUCGGUCUUUUGUUGCGCGGGUUCGCUCGCGUAAUGAUUUUCUAUUGGUUUGAUACAGAUCAAGAGGUAAUGAUUAAUAGAAGCAGUUGGGGGCAUUAGUAUUACGGCGCGAGAGGUGAAAUUCUUAGACCGUCGUAAGACUAACUAAAGCGAAAGCAUUUGCCAAGGAUGUUUUCAUUAAUCAAGAACGAAAGUUAGAGGAUCGAAGGCGAUCAGAUACCGCCCUAGUUCUAACUGUAAACGAUGACAGCUAGCGAUUGGGUGUCACUACAUAAUGGUGCACUCAGUAGCUUUCCGGGAAACUAAAGCUAGUUUCCGGGGGAAGUAUGGUUGCAAAGUUGAAACUUAAAGGAAUUGACGGAAGAUUACCUCCAGGAAUGGAAUUUGCGGCUUAAUUUGACCCAACACGGGAAAACUUACCAGGUCCGAACUCAAGUGGGUAUGACAAUUUGAUAGCGUUUUCACGAAUUUGAGGGUAGUGGUGCAUGGCCGUUCUUAGUUCGUGGAUUGAUUUGUCUGGUUAAUUCCGAUAACGAACGAGACUCAAUUAUUUAACUAGAUACCUAUCAGCCGUUGAGAUGCUGAAGUCAUAUGAUGUGGUGUGUCGCAAGGCAUUCCAUGACAUUUGAUCGAGUCUCACCUGAUAGUUUGGCUUUCGAUUUCGGUCGAUAAGCUUUAUCUGCUUAAAUAGACAAAUUGCUUUCAGCAAUAUGAAAUUGAGCAAUAACAGGUCCGUGAUGCCCUUAGAUGUUCUGGGCGGCACGCGAGUUACAAUGAAGCUGACAACGUGUUACCUUAUCCGAGAGGAUUGGGAAAUCACUUAGCCAGCUUCCUAGUUGGGAUUGUGGACUGAAAAAGUUCACAUGAACCAGGAACUCCUAGUAAGUGUGAGUCACUAGCUUGCAUUGAUUACGACCCUGAUCUUUGUACACACCGCCCGUCGCUAUUACCGACGAAUUAUUUAGUGAGAUCUCUGGAGGUAGACAUUGCGAUGCUUCGGUAUUGCGAUUG